rnacentral:rRNA from 1 species
UACGGGGGGGGUAAGCGUUGUUCGGAAUUACUGGGCGUAAAGGGCUCGUAGGCGGCCAACUAAGUCGGACGUGAAAUCCCUCAGCUUAACUGGGGAACUGCGUCCGAUACUGGAUGGCUUGGAUUUGGGAGAGGGAUGCGGAAUUCCAGGUGUAGCGGUGAAAUGCGUAGAUAUCUGGAGGAACACCGGUGGCGAAGGCGGCAUCCUGGACCAAUACUGACGCUGAGGAGCGAAAGCCAGGGGAGCAAACGGG